rnacentral:rRNA from 1 species
UGAGAGGUUGAUCGAUCACAUUGGGUCUGAAAAAACCCCAAUACGUAUAGUACAGCAGUGAGGAAUAUUGGUCAAUAGCCUAACGGCUGAACCAGCAACUUGGGAGAAUGUAUAGUGGUUUAUCCACAUAAAGUUCUAGAUAGAAUACUGAUAAUGACAAUUUUCUAUCUAAAUGUCUUGACAAAAUAACGUGCCAGCAGUCGCGGUAAGACGGUAAAGACUAGUGUUAUUCAUCUUUAAUAGGUUUAAAGGGUACCUAGACGGUAUAUCAAGCCCCAAAAGGGAACGGAUAUUACUAGAGUUUUAUGUGAGAGGUUUAUUUUAGUACUAUCGGAGUAGAGAUGAAAUUCUUUGAUACUGUUAGGAACUGGUAAUGGCGAAGGCAACCCUCUAUGUAAAAACUGACGUUGAGGGACGAAGGCUUGGGUAGCAAACAGGAUUAGAUACCCUAGUAGUCCAGGCAGAAAAUGAUGAAUGCCAUAGAUUAGAUUAUAUUUGGUCUAUAAAUGAAAGUGUAAGCAUUCCACCUCAAGAGUAAUGUGGCAACGCAGGAACUGAAAUCAUUAGACCGUUUCUGAAACCAGUAGUGAAGUAUGUUAUUCAAUUCGAUGAUCCGCGAAAAACCUUACCACAAUUUGAAUAUUAUAGUGGAAUCAUUCCAUUAUAUUACAAGUGUUGCACGGCUGUCUUCAGUUAAUGUCGUGAGAUGCAGGUUAGCUCCAUUAAAUUAACGCAAACCCUUACAUCAUUUAUUUAUGAUGUAGUUCUCCGCUAUAU